GAUAUGGAUUCUAUUCUAUGUUGUACAUAUAUGUAUACACAUAUAUACAUAUAUGUAUCUAGUACAUCAAAGUGUACAUACUUUUUCGCAAUAAUUACCAUCCGUCUCCCACAUGGCGAAUUUAUUCUUUUUGUAUGUCCUUUGCCAGGGAUGACGGUGCUUCACAAGCCUUAAAUACCUCGGUAACCAUGAAAUCAAAGCACCCUCUAAAAUGUCUCCUGUUCCACAAACUGGAUCGGCAGGAGAACAAUAAUGGCAAACUCCGUAAAGACAAGUAUCGUUGCCAUCUUGAUACAUGGUCGUAUAUAGCUCGGGUGUCGCGCGUGGUCGAAUUUCCUUCCUCAGGUCGACUAUGAAAAUAUUGUUUGAUAACAGAGGCACAUACGUUUCCUCGCAACAGUAAUUGGUACCCUCCUCAAGGCCAGUAAGGAAGAUAAAUGAAAUGCAACGACUUCGGCGUUAUGCCGGUCUUUCCCAUGAUACACCGGCCCUUGAAUAACCAUAUCUCUGGAAUACCAUUGAGGCUUGAACAUCGCCUUCACUCCGUGUUCCAGCGUUAACAUCAAUUUCAAUUGCGUACCGAGUGGCGCAUUAUCUGCUCUCGUCACCUUCGAUUUGCGCAAAGUGUCCAAAAUUGUUCCUAGUUCAGGUGCAACCGGCGGGAUCAACUGGUGCGCAUCCGGCCACUAAAAAAUGUUCAUUCAACUCUUAUGCUUUCGCCAGCUUUCACAGAUUAUAAAAUCAAAUGCACAAGUUCAAAACCCAUAUCCAAUGUUAUACUACAAUAAUAUAUAGAGAGAAAUAUAUAGAGAGUUUAAAUAUCGUUUUUAUGCUAAUUAGAAUUGAUGUAUUUUUAUAAAAAUUUGUAUCUUUUAAUACCAUUUUUGUGCAACAAGUCGCUACCAAAGCAAAUGUUCCAUAGUUUAAUUGCUGCUUGCAUUUUUUAAAAUAAUAAUUAUAAUUUCUGCUCUCGUGAUCAGUUUUAAUAAUUAUUAUACAUACGAUUAUAUCCCUCUGUAUAUCUCUUUCCUUUGUAUUCAAAUUGAAAUGAAUAUAUGAACAAACUAUUAUAUUAUAUAUAUAGAUUGAUAUUGAUAAUAUAAUAUAUACAUAUAUUAUAUUAUCAACUACUACAAUUCAGCUAUCAUCAUUCAUGUAGCAUGGAUAUUAGUAUUCAUGAAAACAAACGCAAAAUGUAUGUUAUAUGUAUACCUGAAACAAGCUUGUAUCUAUGUAUCUAGAUUUCCAAAAUUAACAUUGUCGAAAACAUUACAAAGAGACAAACGCAAACAAUUGUUAUUUUUCCCUUA